rnacentral:piRNA from 1 species
UNGUAGCUUCUUAAAUGCCUCUGUACAAU